AGAGUUUGAUCCUGGCUCAGAAUAAACGCUGGCGGCGUGCCUAACACAUGCAAGUCGAACGAGAAAGCCUGUUUUCGGACGGGCGAGUAAAGUGGCGCACGGGUGAGUAACGCGUAGGUAACCUGCCCUUGUGUUCGGGAUAACAGUGCGAAAGCGCUGCUAAUACCGGAUGUGGCCAAUUGGCGGUGGCUAGUUGGUCAAAGUCGGCCUCUCAUAGAAGCCGACGCACGGGGAUGGGCCUGCGUCCUAUCAGCUUGUUGGUAGGGUAACGGCCUACCAAGGCUUCGACGGGUAGCUGGUCUGAGAGGAUGAUCAGCCACACUGGCACUGAAACACGGGCCAGACUCCUACGGGAGGCAGCAGUGAGGAAUUUUGCGCAAUGGCCGCAAGGCUGACGCAGCAACGCCGCGUGGGUGAAGAAGGCCUUCGGGUCGUAAAGCCCUGUCAGGUGGGAAGAAUGUUUCGGGGAUGAAAAAGCCUCGGAAGUGACGGUACCACCAGAGGAAGCACCGGCUAACUCCGUGCCAGCAGCCGCGGUAAUACGGAGGGUGCAAGCGUUAUUCGGAAUUACUGGGCGUAAAGCGCGUGCAGGCGGGCGGACAAGUCUGAUGUGAAAGCCCCGGGCUCAACCUGGGAAGUGCAUUGGAUACUGUUCGUCUUGAGUUCUGGAGAGGAAGGGGGAAUUCCCGGUGUAGAGGUGAAAUUCGUAGAGAUCGGGAGGAAUACCAGUGGCGAAGGCGCCCUUCUGGACGGCAACUGACGCUGAGACGCGAAAGCGUGGGGAGCAAACAGGAUUAGAUACCCUGGUAGUCCACGCUGUAAACGAUGAGCACUAGGUGUAGCGGGUACUCAUUCCUGCUGUGCCGCAGCUAACGCGUUAAGUGCUCCGCCUGGGGAUUACGGUCGCAAGACUAAAACUCAAAGGAAUUGACGG
rnacentral:rRNA from 1 species